GACCUAGAGGAAGCACACCGUGAAUGCUAGCCGUGGUUCAGAAUGAAGUGUACAGAAGUUGUCCUCAACACCUCUAAGUUCUACUUAGAGUCUCACUAAGUCUCCGUGGGUUCCUGUGCAUUUUUGCACUCAAGGGAAAAAGUGAGAGUGUGCUGCAGUGACGCUGGAAAUCUCCCAGUCCCAGAUUGCUCCCUGACUGCUCUUU
rnacentral:lncRNA from 1 species